CACUCCUGCGGGAGGCAGCAGUGGGGAAUUUUGGACAAUGGGCGAAAGCCUGAUCCAGCAAUGCCGCGUGAGUGAAGAAGGCCUUCGGGUUGUAAAGCUCUUUUGUCAGGGAAGAAACGGUGAAAGCUAAUAUCUUUUGCUAAUGACGGUAACUGAAGAAUAAGCACCGGCUAACUACGUGCCAGCAGCCGCGGUAAUACGUAGGGUGCAAGCGUUAAUCGGAAUUACUGGGCGUAAAGCGUGCGCAGGCGGUUUUGUAAGUCUGAUGUGAAAUCCCCGGGCUCAACCUGGGAAUUGCAUUGGAGACUGCAAGGCUAGAAUCUGGCAGAGGGGGGUAGAAUUCCACGUGUAGCAGUGAAAUGCGUAGAUAUGUGGAGGAACACCGAUGGCGAAGGCAGCCCCCUGGGUCAAGAUUGACGCUCAUGCACGAAAGCGUGGGGAGCAAACAGGAUUAGAUACCCCAGUAGUCCCAUGA
rnacentral:rRNA from 1 species